UACGAAGGGGGCUAGCGUUGCUCGGAAUGACUGGGCGUAAAGGGCGCGUAGGCGGAUGGCACGAGUCAGAUGUGAAAAUUCCCGGGCUUAACCUGGGGGGCUGCAUUUGAUACGUGUGAUCUAGAGUGAGGAAGAGGGUCGUGGAAUUCCCAGUGUAGAGGUGAAAUUCGUAGAUAUUGGGAAGAACACCAGGUGGCGAAGGCGGCGACCUGGUCCGUUGACUGACGCUGGAGGCGCGAAAAGCCGUGGGGAGCAAACAGG
rnacentral:rRNA from 1 species